UCACUCAACCACCUGGAAACCCUCAGCACUGAUUGCCAUCUUACUCCUGCUGCAGUACUUAACCCAGUCUCCCACUCCUCUCUUCCCCAAUUUGUUGUUGUACCUCAGUGCCCUGCCAUGCUUCACCUACCUGCUUGCCUCGCCCAGCCUCAACCUGAUCUACAUCCCGACCACCACUCUUAACCCUUACUCCACCCCCAGCUUCCAUUUUUGAGUUUCUCUUUUGUUUGUUUUUGGCAAUAAACCGUUCUGCCUUGUGGGUUCAGUUCUGUUUCAAAGCGCAAGGUUAACAUAUACACUACUUAAGAUAAAACUAAAAGCAUCUUUUUUUCAAUUUCUGCCUUUCAUCGACUGUAUUUCAGUGGUCAAGACAAAAACAUGGUGUUGGAUUGAAAUAUUCAACAUGUCCACACUUAUUCACAUUACAUGGACACAACCCUAGUUUUUUGCCUGAAUUAGGCACUCUUCAUGACAUUAAUUUGCUUGAGAUGCCUUAAAGUCACAAUAAAUCAAUGGACAUAAUGGA